rnacentral:rRNA from 1 species
CCUACGGGAGGCAGCAGUGGGGAAUAUUGCACAAUGGGGGAAACCCUGAUGCAGCGACGCCGCGUGAGUGAAGAAGUAUUUCGGUACGUAAAGCUCUAUCAGCAGGGAAGAAAAUGACGGUACCUGACUAAGAAGCCCCGGCUAACUACGUACCAGCAGCCGCGGUAAUACGUAGGGGGCAAGCGUUAUCCGGAUUGACGGGGUGUAAAGGGAGCGUAGACGGCAGCGAAAGUCUGGAGUGAAAUCCCAUGGCUUAACCAUGGAACUGCUUUGGAAACUGUGCAGCUAGAGUGCAGGAGAGGUAAGCGGAAUUCCUAGUGUAGCGGUGAAAUGCGUAGAUAUUAGGAGGAACACCAGUGGCGAAGGCGGCUUACUGGACUGUAACUGACGUUGAGGCUCGAAAGCGUGGGGAGCAAACAGGAUUAGAUACCCCAGUAGUC